CUGGAAACGAUGGCGAAAGACGGUUGAAGACAUUAUGCUCAUUUUAUUGUGUAGCAUGGAAAAACCAAAACUGACUGGGAAAAAAAAUAUAUUUGACGGAAUUAUUUGCUCGCCAAUUUUGUCAAGUGGCAGUUCACACGACGAGAGUAAAGGUCGACAUUCACCACAGACUGAGAGAAACCUCACUUGCCUGGGCAAGGGGUCUAGAUUUUCUAGAUCUGGGGUCUAGGGUCUAGAUCUUCUGUCUAGAAUCUAAGCAUUUUUCCAAGUACUCCACUUCUAAAGUCAUCUGUCACUGACAAGCAUCGAAUUUGUGGGAAGAAAUUUG